UACGUAGGGAGCAAGCGUUGUCCGGAAUCAUUGGGCGUAAAGCGCGCGUAGGCGGCCCUGUAAGUCCGCUGUGAAAGUCAAAGGCUCAACCUUUGAAAGCCGGUGGAUACUGCAGGGCUAGAGUCCGGAAGAGGCGAGUGGAAUUCCUGGUGUAGCGGUGAAAUGCGCAGAUAUCAGGAGGAACACCAAUUGCGAAGGCAGCUCGCUGGGACGUUACUGACGCUGAGACGCGAAAGCGUGGGGAGCAAACAGG
rnacentral:rRNA from 1 species